AUAUGAAAAUGCGAAAAUGCGAAAAUGCGAAGGUUAACCGGGGAUUGAAAACGGCUACGCAUUACGCGGGCGUAUUACUUGGCGUCGUUGAACGCCAGUGAAAGUUACUAUGAAAUAUUGAAAAGAACUAGGUGGUCGCGCGCAUGCGCAAUGGACGUUUCGAGAAGCGAAUCCCAAUAUCAUAUAACGCUAAAUGUAUUUUUAAAUGUCUUUUUACGAUAUGGAAGAAAUCUCCGCAGAGGAUCUUUGCGAUCCUCUGAAAGAAUAAAAGUAGAAUAAACGGAAGAAGAGGAUAAUUAUCGGAGAAGGAAGUGCAAUUUAAGGACAAAGACGAGAAACCGAGUUGAGGAGAAUUAACCCUUUAGCUAAAGAACGCCUAAAGCCGUCCGACGUUUGGUCCAAUAUCCCCUGCCCGGUCAGACGAAUUUCGCCCUUAUGUCGAAAUGACUCCUUGCUCAAAGGGUUGAUGGAAAGAAGCGGGAUAAAAAGAAAACCGAAGAUUAAAAUGAAAGUAAUAGAGAGUGAGCGAUGAAAAAUUAGAAUCGAGGAGUAGGAGAAAGGGGAGAGGAUUUUUUAAUCGGGUUUCAGGAGUGGAAGAGAAUUUUCCAGCGCUGUUAUCAGCUGGAUGUAAAUCGCAAUUUUCUUAUCAGCUGGAUGAAAUUUGGCUUUUACUGGAAAAAGGAUUCUCUUCGUGGUUAAACGCCCCGAGGGACCUGCAAAUGAUGAAGUUUAAUUGCACUGUGAUAUUCUACGGAGCUUUACUCGGCCAAAGAGGAUUUUUCCCGGUGGACUCGUUUCGAAGAAUGCCGACAUAGGAAGAAAUAUUCUUCCAAAAGUGGAUAUAUAAUAUUGAGAAAUUAUUUACAUAUUUUCGAGGGUAUCCAUAUCCGAUAGCGAUGAUAAAGUAGGAAUCUUCUUCUGCUCUUCUCGUGGGAUAAUUUCGAAAAAGGAAGGAAAAAUUUAUUCACGCCCAAGAUUGGAUGUUGGAUAAAUAAAAGACUAAAGAUAUCAAGAAAACGUUGAAAGAAAAAAGUGGGAAUUAUUUCCACAACAUUUUUUUAUAUACAUAUUGAUAAUGGACUUUAUGUGAAGAAAUGCUCUAUUUGUAUCCAAAGUUGGAUUAAUGAUAAUCAUUAAGAAUUUCGAGGAUUAUGGAUAAUGGAGUGCCUCAAAGUAAUGAAAAUAAAGGAGAUGCAAUUAUUUUUCCUAACCAAAAAUAUGACUACCUGAUUAUGGACAGAAAUUUGGUUUUAAAAUUAAGGAUCGAUAUUAUUGUUAAUCGAAAGUAUUAAUGGACAUAUGAUUAAUAUUAAUACCGUAGCGAUGAUAACUUGAGAAGGGAUAUUUUAUUAUCCACGUUUAAUUGUAUGAGGAUACCCAAGAUUAUUAAUAAGUUAAUUGAUAAUAUUAAAGGAGGAGCCAAUUAUUAAGAGGAAUUAAUUGGAACUCACCAAAGUCUCCAAAGAUCAUUAAAGACGAUGAAAAGUGGAGAUGAUAAAUGAACGAGUGAUAUUAAGGAUCCGAGGGGUCAUCCAAAGAUCAUUAAGAUAUUAAUAUAAUUUGAUGGUUAAGGAUACUUUAAUUAACUGGCAUUAUGAUUACCCUAUCGUUAAUGUCAAUAUAAUGGAUAACGAUAUCGAUAAGGAGUCGUUUUUUUGAUAACGAGUGAUCAAUGCACAGAAACAUCAGCGGGACAAUCAAAGGAUUGCGAAUGAGAAAAAAUUUGAGGUCAUUAAGAUUUGGACCCCGUUUUAAGGAUAUCCAAAUCAUUAAGGUCAUUACUUUAGAUAUCAGAGAUCUGAUUAAAAAAAUAAGUGAAGCCCCGAAACAUCAGCGGGACGAUAAAAGGAUUACAAAUGAGAGGAAAUUCAAGGAUCAUUAAGGAUCACGAUCCACUUUAAGGACACCAAAAUCGAGGUUAAGGUACCAAAAAUCGAAAUUAAGGACACCUAAAUCGAGGUUGAGAAUACCAAGAUCGAGAUUAAGGACACCAAAAUCGAGGUGAAGGUACCAAGAUCGAGGUUAAGGCACCAAAAUUGAAAUUAAGGACACCAAAAUCGAAAUUAAGGACACCAAGAUCGAGGUUAAGAACACCAAGAUCGAGAUUAAGGACACCAACAUCGAUGUUAAAAAUACCAAAAUCGAGAUUAAGGCACCAAAAUUGAAUUUAAGGACACCAAAAUCGAGGUUGAGAAUACCAAGAUCGAGAUUAAGAACACCAACAUCGAGGUUAAAAAUACCAAGAUCGAGGUUAAGGCCCCAAAAUCGAGGUUAAAGACACCAAAAUCGAGGUUAAGAAUACCAAAAUCGAGAUUAAGGACACCAAAAUCGAGAUUAAAAAUACCAAGAUCGAGGUCAAGGCACCAAAAUCGAGGUUAAGGACACCAAAAUCGAGGUUAAGGGCGCUCCAAAUCCCAGAUGAAACUCCGAAAAUCCAGUUCAUCCAGCCCAAAGAUGGAGCUCCUAUCCCGGAGGACAACCAACGGAAUAUCCAGCCUGAAGAGGUCGAGGUCCUUCCGGGCGUCGAUGCGAUUGGUCACGAAAAUCCGAAACCACGCGAGUCUCCGGUUGACCUCGGGCUUUGACCUCUCCCCGGUGUCCUUGACCCCGGAAGGACCAGGGCCAAGGUUCAACGACCUCUCGACGACCUUAAAUCAGGAGCCAAGGGCGCCCACGAAGGUCAAGGACGCCAUUUCGAAAAUGAAUUCGAGGAGUCCUAGCGAGGAUAAGGGUAAGGAUAUGAAGAGAGGUCAGAAGACCUCGAAGGACAUCCAGGAUAAAAAGGACGGCAAGAUGAAGUUAUCAUUUGCUGACAGGAUCAUGAGACGAAGAAAAGGACGAAGACAGGAGGAAGAGAAAAAGGAUGUCCUCGAGGUAUCCGAGGUCGAUAAGGUCCCUGGAAGGAUCGAGGAAGAGGUCACUCGUUUGGAUGUCCUGGAAAGGAAGAUGUCCUGUGGAUUUCUCGUGGGGGACAUGAACUCUUAUGAAAAUCCUACGUUCUGUUUGGAUAGUUCCUCGGAGGCGAUUCUUGAGGACGAGGACGAGGACGAGGGUCGAGGAUCACGUGGGAAGGACAUCCCAUCCAGGAUGUCCUCAAGCGGCACUUUUCGGUUAAGAAAGGACCUCGAAGAUGAGGCGACUUUUCCAGAGGAAGUUUGGACUAAAUCUCUGGAUGAGGUCAAUUUCGGGAGGUCCUGUGGGAGGGAGGAUCGCAGCAUAUCCUCGAAGGAUAUCUCGUGGAGGUCCGAAUGCGGACUUGGAAAAUUCCAGGACGAGGACGAUGAAGUCGGGAGGGUCGAGAGGACGUCCUGGAAGGUCGAUAAAGUUCCAGGAAAAUAUGGAAAAGGAACGAAAGGUAUCACACGUGGGACGUCCUUCGAAAUUCCUGGAAUCGAGGUCGACGAAAAACUGGAUAAAUGUUUAAGAGUCCUUGAGGUUAAAAUCGUUAAUAUCUCACGGAAGAAUAAUGAGCUGCGAGAUAAACUCCGGCUUGCAAGAUUUGAAAAAAUUCCAGGAAUCGAGGUCCUCAAAAAUGAGGAUAAAGUUCCGAGUGUCGGAAAUUGUCAGGACCUAAUUGAUAAUAUGCAAAGGGAGAAUAAUGCCUGUUAUACGAUACGAGAUAAACUCCAGAAUGCAAGAUACGAGAAAAUUCCAGGAAUCGAGGUCUUCAAAAAUGAGGAUAAAGUUCCUAGCGUCGGAAAUUGUCAGGACCUAAUUGAUAAUAUGCAAAGGGAGAAUAAUGCCUGCUAUGCAAUACGAGAUAAACUCCGGCAUGCAAGAUUCGAGAAAAUUCCAGGAAUCGAGGUCCUCAAAAAUGAGGAUAAAGUUCCGAGCAUUGGAAAUUGUCAAGACCUAAUUGAUGAUAUGCAAAGCGAGAAUAAUGCUUGCUAUGCGAUACGAGAUAAAUUCCGGCAUGCAAGAUUCGAAAUAAUUCCAGGAAUCGAGGUCCUCAAAAAUGAGGAUAAACUCUCCCUGGAUAAGAACCUUAAAGAUAAGGUCGAUCGUAUCCCACGGGGGAAUGAUAGCCAUCAUAGGGAGCGAGACGAAUCGCUGCCUGCAGAAUUCCUGGAAAUUCCUGGAAUCGAGCUCGACAAAAAUCAGGAUAAAUCCUCGCGGAUCCUUAAGGAUAAUAUCCCGCAGGAUGAAACUAUCCUUAAAAAAUCCAACAACGAAACAAAAAAUAUAUCCCAAGACGAUCCCGAAAAUGAAGUCGACCAAAAUCAGGAUAAACAUUCGCGAACGCAGAUCCUUAAGGAUAAUAUCCCGCAGGAGGAAAAUAUCCUUAGAAAAUCCAACAGCGGGUCAAGGAAAAUCCACCAUUCAAAAUCCCUGGAAAUUUCCCGAACCGAGGUCGAGGAAAACCAGGAUAAGUUCUCGCAGGACUUUAAGGAUGACGUCCCUCGGGAUAUCCGGGACUUCGGCGGAAGUAGUCCCGGAUAUCCUUCGAGAUCGAAAACUCGAACUGUCGACAACAUCGCGAAUUUUCUGGGGGGAAGAGGGACCAGCUUCAGGACGAAGAAAAGUGGCAGGAAGAAAGUCCUGAAGAAUCUCUCCAAGGACGCCGAGUCGACCAAUCAGCAUCGCUCUAUGGUCACGACCACUUCCGGUUCAAAACUGCAAUCCCGACAAGGAAUGGAGUUCCUGGAGGGUUUUGGAAAAAAGAAACAGCCAUCAAAUCCGACGCAGUUGACCCUUAUCAACCCCUUAUCAGCACAGCCUUCCCUCAACAUACACCUGCAUGCACUUUUUGCCGCGGUCGAGCACGGCCAGCUGGACAAGGCGAGAACGAUUUUGGAGUUGAAAGGGGUAAAUGUAAACAGUGUAAAUAGCGACGGUUUGUCGCCCCUCGACGUGGCGGUGCUCAGCAACAAUAGACCCCUUGCGAAGAUGCUUGUGGCCUUCGGUGCACAAGAGGGCAAUCAGUUCGAGUCCCCGGAGUCCCUAGGGACCCACCUGGCGUCGUUGCUCUCGGAAGCGGAACACAGGGUCCAGGAAUUGGGAGGAAGCUCUUCCACUGGUGGCAGUGGCUCGUCCCUCCUGGAGCCACCGUCCCACAGGUCCAGCUUUUCUGCACCGCACAAUAACCUUACUUGUAGUGGAGGCAAUGCCGAAGACAAACAGCUGGCUCUCUGGGAAAGGAGGGCGAGAGCCCUGAGGAAAAUGUUGUUGGGAUUCGACCAAGCAAGACCACCAGACGCACCAUUUCUAGUGGCAGUGGAUGUGACCGGAACCACAUCUGUCAGCGUAAGGUUCCAGGAACCGGAGUCCCACGAUUCCCCAAUUUGCACAAAGUUCAAAGUCCAGUGGAGCACCAAGGAGGACUUUUCCACGAUCUGUGCAGAGAGAGAAGUCCUGGACAUGAAGCAACGAGAGUGUAGGGUCGAGAAUCUUAUCCAGGGGCAGAGAUAUUACUUCAGGGCGGCUGCUGGGAACCUCAAGGGGUACAGCAGUUUUAGGCCUUCGACGCCUUCCCACGUAACACCAAGCAGUUGGAGAGACGUGGAUGGCAGAACUCCCAGGUUCGCAGGUCGACUGGAGCAGCUCGACACACUUUUCACCGACAUCAGGGGCCCGGAGUACACCCAGGAGACGCCAGCAGUCCAACGACGCAACCACAAGAAAAAGACGACGAUAAAGCAGCUCUUCACGGCCACCAGCAAGUUCCAAAAAAAUCUAAGACGUGGGGUGUUCCUGGCCUGCCUGCUCUACCACGAGGACAAGGUGCUGGUCACCAACGAAGACUUCCUGCCAGUCAUCGAAGUCGAUGAGACCUAUCCCAGCUGCAUCUACAACGAUUUUCACUGGCUGAUGAAGGUUGCCUGCACCUGGGACGAUGUCAAAACUCUCCGACAGGACAUGGAGAAGAGCCACAGUAGCUCUACGAACCACUUCCGAAUAAAAUUACUGCAGGCUGCGGCUCAGAUGCAGGCCGCUCUCUGCAUCCAAGACCUGGGCCAGCUGUACCACAAACCGAUCAGAGACAUCCAGGGUACCCUGGUGUUCUCCACCGUCAACUACGUGGAAUCCCCGAAGCUGGUAUCGGUGCUCAACAGCAGGUGGCUUCCCCUCAGCAAAGUCAUCAAGAAAGUCAUCACCCACGAGGACAGCAACGUCGCCGACAUCCUGAUGGCCAGCAUACAGGAGCAGAUGACGUACCACCGGGUCAGCAGCAUCAGAUUGUCCAGAGGACUCUACUUGGGGUACCUGAAGAUGCAGAGCAGCGUAGACCUCAUCCAGGUCGUCGUCCCGACGAAGGCGCCGAACGUCCUUCCCCACUGCAAGAUUCGCGACAAUCCUCACGUAUCUGCCGAAGAGUGGGACUACCUGAAGAGGAUGACGAGGGUCCAGAUGAGCGACUCCUCGUCCACGCAGGACCUGGAGGAGAAAGAGAACGCGGCAAACGAGAUGCAAGGAACGGAGCAACAGAGACUGUUCAUCGACCUGGUGUCGGCGACGGCACGUCGACUCUUCGCCUACAUGGAGAUCAGCCCCGAAGACUCCCUGGUGCACAGAUUGUACGACGCGGAGGUGAUCGACCUGACGCACGACGUGUCGUUCCUGAUCGCGGUUCCGCCUGCGGAAACCGCGUGCUCGGUCCCGGGGACCAGGGAGAUCCUCCUGCAGAGGGGCGACCUGCUGUCUUUACCGAUCCAGGUCUUCGAGAUGGUGCACCUGAACACCUACCAGAAGGACGUGAUCAACAGGUACUCCAGGCUCAGCUGCAUCCUGGAGCUGGACACGGCGCAGGCGCAGCACAACCACCGGGAGGCGUUUAGCUCCUCGGAGCUGAGCCUGGCCAAGGACAAGCUCACCAGGUUGCAGGACCUCCAGAGCCAGGUCAACGUCGUCUGGAAGGGCGCCAGGUGGCUCAUCGACGUCAUCACCUUCGCCAGGGAUCGCGGCUCUUCUCAGCAGAACAUAUCCGCCCAGGCGGCCGGGAUUUGCAUGAAGCUGCUGCUCAACCUCGACAGGAACAAGAACGGCAACAGUCUGAAGCGCAGUUUGCUCCAGCUGCCGCCGAGGGACCCAAAAUUGGUAAAGUCCAGCCCAGGUCGAGGAAGCUGGCCAGGACCCAACAUCGCCAACUCCUCGACGAACCUCCUGAACACCGAGUUCAGCAAGAGCGAGCAACAGCUUCCCAGUGGCCAGUACGUGCGGAAGGGGAGCAACAGUUCCAAUCUUUCCACCGGCUCCGAGCCGAGCAAGUUCUCCGUCCCGGUCAGCCUGGCUCCAGGUCGCGCCUCCAGCCACCACCUGGUGCCGCUGCAGAACGUCAGACUCCCGCCCUCGAAGUCGGAGGACACCCUCUUCCUCGCCAAGUACAAGCACAGCCCCAGGAACCGGUCGGCGACCGUCACCUCCGUCUCCGCCAGCACCAGCCCCCUCCUGGGGGUCAAGCCCAUCGUCUCCGGGGGCUCCUUGCCCAUCGACUCCUCCUCGCUCGCCAUCGCGUCCAGCCGGCUGCGCGUACACGCCAACUCCGACGAGUUCGCCAACCCCGACGUCGGCUUCAAGGCCACCCUGGUCAAGGUUAAGCAACCCAAGCCGACGGCCAGCGUCGCCAGCGUCGCCGCCGUCCCCGCGACGCUGCCGGAGGCGCAGCUACAGGACGCCAAGGACGAGGCCACCCUGAUGCCCGCCCCUUCGCCUGGGAUCUUGCAGGGGACUCGAGUCUAGACGAGAUUGUAGUUAACGAGAGCGCACGAUCAUCUAAAAAACCGAAAUCCGGAGACUGUGUAUGCGGCCUACGAAACCGGCCUGGCUUCUGGAACCAGCUUGAAACUUCACGUGACACCCAGGACUACAGCUCGUGAAGUUGUCGACCUCGUUGUGAAGCAGCUCAACAUGGCCGU
rnacentral:misc_RNA from 1 species